UUUCCCCAUCGAUGCAUUUUUAUUUAAAAUUUAGCAUUUACUAAUUAAUGGGUGUGAAACAACUUCACUUGCAGUUUUUAAUGAUUCAAUCAAAUUAUCUCAUAUUAUGGGUAUACACAGCUUGAAUCAUGAUAAAGAGAAAGAAAAAGCAGCGGUUCAAAUCUGGGUUUAUCUCAGAUCAAAAUCUCCAUCUCAAUAUCCAAUGAUUAUAAUGCAAUGUGGCAUUUUCUUCAAAUCUUGCACCUCGAAAACUAAAAUAUCAUUCAAAUAUAAGUCUACAUAAAGUCAGGCAGUAAGAGGUUCGUUUUCUUUCUACAGUUAAUGAGGUGUUUUUUAUGACACAGCCAAAGAAAUUCUGUCCCAUUUCACUGUUUUUACAAUGGGUGUUAAUAUGGUUAACAGGAAAAACUUUUAAAACAUUUACUGAGGUGGUCCUUUCUAUAAACCGUUUAAGAAGGACUCCUGCAGACAGCUGUGUGGUGAGGGGAUCUGUGAGGGAUCUGAAAGCUGCGGAGGCUGGGGGCUGCGGCUGCGCGUCGGCUCAGGGCAGCACACAGGUGUGAGCGCGCCUGAGUGCAGUUCCCUGCAGCUUCUCCCCUUGGUCAUUACUAUAAAUGACAGCGUGCACUUAGUCAAGCAGCCUGGUUAAAUAAGGAUUAGAAGGAUGGGGAGAAAAUAACUUCACACUUUUGAGAGCAGCAAAUGGUGUUUGCAAAGAGCGCAGCUGAAAGCGGAGAGAGGCAGGGGAGAGCUGGGCUCUGCCUGCAAGUAACCCGACGCACGCCGCCUUCCCUCGUUUUGUUUUUCUCUUCUGCAUCUGAACCAGACCUGCAGACACCUUCGCCGAAGCGCUGGAACAAAGACGAAGGAGGGCAUGAAGGAUCGCGUGCAGAAAGUAUUUCUGUUAAAGCCCAACUCUGAGACAAACAUGAGCCCUGCUGCUCCCUCUCUACCCCUCACCACCACCCUCCCUCCCUCAUGCUUCUCGUUUGGUUGGAGCAUCAAACGACCCCGCCGUCUGAAAAUAGCGCGUCGACAUUUCUGUUUCGUCUUGUCGUUUCCUUUUUUCCUCCUUUUUAUUCUCGACAAUGUUGCCAGUUUGCUAGACUCCUGUUUCUUCUCAUGCCUCCUGCCUUCUUGAUCUGUGAGAGGUUACAGCGCAGAGUGCCUCAGACGUGCGCGUGUGCAAGUGUGUGUGGCGUAGGAGAGCUUUGGUGGUCUAUAAAAAGCAGCCAGACAAAGUCUUCCCUCUCUCUUCAUGCAUUAUGCAUCGGCAUCACCUUCCAUCAAUUGGCAGAAAAACCUCAAAGAUGUCUAACUUUAGCUUCCACUCUGAAAGCCAAACAGAGGAGAAGAUGUGGUAUUUUGACUGCCACAGUCGAGCUAAGCACCUGUUACAUCAAUAAAAGCUGCGUUUCGCAACAAGACGGCGGCAACAUGUGCGAUGGAAGAUGAAGAAAAAGAAGCACUUAAAUGCGGAGAGUGGAGAAAGGUAGCAACAACAAAGCUGAGCUGGAUGAAAGAUAAAAUAAAAAAAAACAAGCAUGUGUUCAGAGUUUCAGCUUCACCGCCAGCCUGGCUGAUGGUUCCAGGUCAAUAUGACAGGUCAGCAUGGGGCUAUGUAAAGGGAGAAUCUGUGCAUGUGUAUGAAGAGAGAAAUAAAAGGAUUUAAUACUGGGGGAAAAAAAAAAACCAGGGAGGUUCAGGUGGCAGCGGUGGCACUAAGCCAUGUGCACCGUCAUUCACCGCACGUCCGCCUUCCAGGAGCAGCAGGCAGCACCCAGGGGCGACCCAAACAGCCCCACCCGCAGCUCUGCGGGGCUGCAGUAAACAAGCGCUCCCCCUCUCAGCAGAAAGGCUGUGAUGGUCUGCUCUGUUCCAGGACUGUGAGCGUGUUUAUUUACUGUCCUGACGGACUCAGGCUGCCUCCACUCUGAUGAUGUCCUGAUGGAAGCCAUGGAAAUUCAGCAAUCCGCUCCAAUAAAAAUUACGAAUUUUU